rnacentral:rRNA from 1 species
GCUUGCACCCAUAUCACUCUGCAACUCACAACUGGCAACCCGCUUAAGCGAAGCAGGUAUGAGCCUGGUCAGUACGUGGACGGGAGACCUCCUGGGAAAAACAGGUUUCUGCUAGAA